UUUUCUUAUUUUCUAGCCAUGAAUAGAUUGUCCAAAACCUACAGGAGCUCACCCAUGUCCUUCAGGGCCAUGGGCACAGCUCCCUUCUUUAAAAGUGACUGUGUUUGAACAGGAGCACUUCCAGGGCAAGUGUCUGGAGUUCAUGACCGCGGCCUGGACAACAUCCGCUCCAUCCGAGUGGAGAGUGGAGCGUGCGACAUUAAGAUUCCAGAGCCAGAAUUUGGUGUAAAUAGUACUGCGACUAGCGACCUGUCCGGGGUGUUCCCCACCUCUCGCCCUUUGACCUCUGGAGAUAGGCACCAGCAUCCCUGGUAACCUCUCCAGGGAUAAGCCUCUUUGUGUGCUGUGAGUAGCCGGGCUCCAGGGUACAUCAUGGAGUGUGAGAGGCACAGUGGAGAUAAUCAGCACUGGAGGAACUGGGGCUCCCACUGCCAGACACCAAACAUCCAGUCCAUCAAACGCAUCAGGCACCGAGGAGCCUCGUAUCGAGACCAGCAGCAGGUUGGACUUGAGCAAAAGAACCCCUGAGCUCGACCUCAGUUUGGUUCAGAGGGCUUUGGACCAUAACUACAACACAAACCAUGUGGGAUCUAGCAUCUACCUCCCAACCCCACCCAUAGUUUCUUUGUUUUAAGGAAUAUUUUGAUUUUGUACAAGUUAAAUAAAGUUUAGGCUGAGCAGAUAAAUAGUGCGGACAUGCAGGAAUGUGUUUUGACAUUUUGCACUGAACUUCACAUAAUAUUUUUGCACACUGUUACCUCAGUAUUGAGCCAGAAUGAUAUCAGAGUCUGAACAUUAAAACUUAAACCACGGCUUCAAAUAUGAGGAGGCAUCAGAAGAAAAUGGAAGAACAUGUUGCCAAGCAUGUACAGGUUUAGGGGCCACUGUGGAUGAAUUCAGCAAGUUUUAUUCUGUUACACAUAAAGAAACUUUUGAGAAAAUACCUAAUCAUUCAAAAAGAUAUUAUAAACACCUGAUGCAUAUAGAAGAAAAAGAAAACAUAUAGAUAAAUAAGCUUCUUUCUCAGUUGUUUUGUUAUUCUAAGUACUGGCAACUGACAACACAAAGAGUGGGACCAAUAUUCUUAAAAGAAAGAAAAAUUAGCUUCUCAUUUCUAAUGACUAAUUUAUGUACUAUAUUUCUGCAGAUCAUCACAGCAGACAGGCUUAUUAAAACAUAAAAAGCCCCAUGAGCAUCCUUCGGUAAACUGUUUUUAUUCAGCUGUGGAUUCAUGCAAUAAACAUCUGCUUAAUGAGCAUUUCUCGCAUUGCAAACGGUCACGAAUCCUGUCUCGAAGCGAAACUAAUUAACUUUAAUAGCUGCACACAAAACGGAGACAGGUGUCUCAAGAGUAACUUAAACAAUUUUUGAUUCGCAAAAAUUAGUGAGUAUUAUAAUAAUAACUAUGGAGCAAAAAUAGAUCAUUUGUAUUUAGCAUAAUCUUCCACCUUCCCUGAUUUGUAUCAGCUUGUGCUCAUUGUGCUUUUUUUACACAUGUAAUUAUCUUUAGAUUGUUUUUGUUUUAUUUAUUGUUUCAGUAACAGCGGUAUCACUUGUUGCUCCUCUCUGUCUCUAGUCUCUCUUAAAGAGAGUUAAUUUCAAACGGCCUAAAGAAUAAGACAAACUUAUUCUUUAAGAGUUUAUUUUAGGAGAGAUCAACCAUCAACCAUCUGAUCCGCUCUUCUUGAUUAAACAAGUGAACUCUCUGUCCUUGUUAUGUGAAUGCUGGUAUUUGAACAUACUCUGAAAGUUGAUUUGAGGAAUAAUUUUUAUCUCGUUCUUUACUUGCUGUUCUUCAGAGUUUCCAUGGAGAUACGUGUUUUUUUUUUUUUUUUUUUUUUUUUUUUACCCACUUAAUUUUAAAAGAGGGUGAAUAGAAAACACAAUGCACAUCUUGUAAGCAAAACGUAAUCGCUUUCAUCUAUUUUAAGCUCCUGCUUCAGUGUCUGGAGAAAAGAAAUAUCAGUAAAGACAACAGCAACUAUAUAUUAUUGCAAACUCUCAAAUAUAUGGGGAACAGUGCAAUAAGGAUGUUUCUCAGUUCACUAAAAUACGUGUUGUGCAACAAUCAAUCAAUCAAUUGUGCAUAAUAGUUAAUACGCCACAGAAUAUAGAUAACAUGUUCAGGUAUAAAUUCAAUCUCAAAUUGACCAAGAAAUGUGAUCUCCUAGUGUAAAACCAGCCAACCAAUUUUUUUUUUUUAUUUUUUAAAUCCAGCCAAUAAUGUUUCCUUACAGAAACAGAACCUCGCUUGGAGUGGGACAGAUUCAUCAUUGGAAGCACCUGCGCUUCACUGCAAUGACAUUGAAAAAUCUCCUGCAGAACAAAACAUCUCUAUAAGACCUAACAGCAGGUCUAAAAAAAA